CGUCUAUAUACGUAUAGCAUAUCAAUAAGCGGAGGAAAAGAAACUAACUAGGAUUCCCUCAGUAACGGCGAGUGAAGCGGGAAGAGCUCAAAUUUGAAAUCUUCAAGGUUCUACCUUGACGAGUUGUAGUUUAAAGAAGUGUUUUCUGUUGGAGUUUUGGUAAAAGUUCUUUGGAAUAGGACAUCAUAGAGGGUGAGAAUCCCGUAUUUGACCAUUAUUUCCAGCUUUGUGAUACACUUUCAAAGAGUCGGAUUGUUUGGGAAUGCAGUCCAAAAUGGGUGGUAAAUUUCAUCUAAAGCUAAAUACUGGCGAGAGACCGAUAGCGAACAAGUACCGUGAGGGAAAGAUGAAAAGAACUUUGAAAAGAGAGUUAAACAGUACGUGAAAUUGUCAAAAGGGAAGCGUUUGACACCAGUGUUGUUUUCUCGAAAAUCAAUUAAAAAUGGUGGGAUUUUGUGUUGUAUUGACUUUAUCAGCUUUCUGCACUUUUUUCCUGUCUUUUUUAAUGCACUUUUCGUUUAACAAGUCAACAUCAAUUUCUUUUGUUGUAAAAGGGUCAUUGGAAGGUGGCUUUCUUUUCGGAGAAAGUGUUUAUAGCCUUUGACCUCUGCAAUCGGAGAGAUUGAGGUCUGCAGCGUAGAUCCUUCGGGGUUAGAUACAUUUGUGCUAAGCUAUAGCCUUUCAUAGACAACUUGAUGACUAUGAUCAGUCAUGUAGCUUACUCGCUUAUGUCUAUUUUACCUACGCUUAGGAUGUUGACGAUCAGCUGAGCGCG
rnacentral:rRNA from 1 species